rnacentral:misc_RNA from 1 species
CCGAGUCUACAACUCCCAAACCCCUGUGAACAUACCUAUCGUUGCUUCGGCGGGAUGCCCCAGUUUGACGCAAGCUGGACCCAGGCGCCCGCCGGAGGACCCAAACUCUUGUUUUAUUUAUGUAUCUUCUGAGUAAACAAGCAAAUAAAUUA